rnacentral:misc_RNA from 1 species
CGCACCUUGCACCCUCUGGUAUUCCGGAGGGUAUGCCUGUUCGAGUGUCAUGUAAUCAUCGACCGGGUCGGGAGACCGCUCGGCCGGAUCUGGGUGUUGCCGUUCUGGCUCGCCUCAAAUGCAUCAGCGAGGGGCUGGCUAUUUACUACGGCGAUUAGGUUACGUCGGAACGGAGUCGUCUCGCGCUCACAGUUCGCCCUCGGGCACGCCUUUUGGCACUUGACUUUGACCUCGGAUCAGGUAGGACUACCCGCUGAACUUAA